rnacentral:rRNA from 1 species
CUUCGGGUGGAGCGGCGGACGGGUUAGUAACGCGUGGGAAUAUACCCUUCACUAUGGAAUAGCCUCGGGAAACUGAGAGUAAUACCAUAUACGCCCUUCGGGGGAAAGAUUUAUCGGUGAAGGAUUAGCCCGCGUAAGAUUAGAUAGUUGGUGGGGUAAUGGCCUACCAAGUCUACGAUCUUUAGCUGGUUUUAGAGGAUGAUCAGCAACACUGGGACUGAGACACGGCCCAGACUCCUACGGGAGGCAGCAGUGGGGAAUCUUAGACAAUGGGCGAAAGCCUGAUCUAGCCAUGCCGCGUGAGUGAUGAAGGUCUUAGGAUCGUAAAGCUCUUUCGCUAGGGAUGAUAAUGACAGUACCUAGUAAAGAAGCCCCGGCUAACUCCGUGCCAGCAGCCGCGGUAAUACGGAGGGGGCUAGCGUUGUUCGGAAUUACUGGGCGUAAAGCGUACGUAGGCGGAUCAGAAAGUAUGGGGUGAAAUCCCAG